ensembl:lncRNA
GGUCCAUGAUUCUGCUGAAAGUUUGGUGAUACUCGAGCUCAACAGCCAUUGAAAUUACCCCCCUCCCUUCCGUGCUCUCGAAGCAAAGUGUUGAUUGGCUGGGAUAGUGUAUGGCUCGUUCUGAGUCACGCUCACACAAAGACUGUGUAGGUACACCAGUUUUUCCAAGCGCACACACAGAACAGACAGCUAGAGGACUGGGAGAAGCAAUUUGCUGAAUUUAAAAGAAGUGGGUUGGAUUAGAAUUGUGGACUGUGCCUUUAAAGGCUGGUGUGCAUCUGAAAAGUUGCAUGCUGGUAUGUGGUCUUCAUUAUUUAUCCAUUUAGGAAUAUAAAGUUUUCCAUUCAGUUUUGCCAUUGGAAAAACUCUUCUCUUGAAACCUCAGUUGAGGGUUAGUGUGUGUAUUGUGUUUUGACACUCCUCUCAAUGACAUUUAGUGGUAGGUUGUAUUCUAUGAAUUCUAUUGAUAUAUGGUAUGUAAAAAAGUGUGUUGAUGUGGCCUUUCCAUCAUUCCAUGUCCAUCCAUGCUUUCGGUUCAAAUGUCUGCUAUGCAGUUGUAUGCAAUAUUCACUUAAAAUUAUUUGAAUUUUUUUUAUAAGUAUGUUUAUUGAGCAUUGACGAUACAAAAUGCAACUGCCAUACAGAUCUGCAUCUUUUGACAAAAAUAAAAGUUUUCUGUGAAAAAGUUUAAUUAAAACAUUCAAAAUGUUAUUUUCCAAAAUCCUAGAACGCUUGGAAAACCGUUUCCAUUUAAAAACAAAAAGGACAUUUCUCUCUCAUUUCAGGACUUAAAAGAGCUCUGACAAAGCAUGUAAUAUGUCAGUGACAUAAGUUUGAGUAGAGAAGAGUAAUACAUGAUAGGGUUUUCUUGACUCAUUUUAACUGUAAUAGUUGACAUUCCUCCUUAUUCUUCUGCUUCUAGGCGGCACCAUUCUCCACUCUAAACAUCACGGCAAAUCUUCUUGGAACUGCACUCCAGAGCCUAUUACUGAAGUUGAAAGGAGCUUAUAAAGAGGAGCAUGUUCUCACUUCUGGCCUGGUGGUACGCUACUACAUCAACAGAGACCUGGAGACAGAGCUCUGUGUCCAGGUACACACACACACACACACACACACACACACA